AAUGAAGUGCCUGAAAAAAGGGUUAUUUUGAUAGAAUAAAUCAUACUUGAUAUAAGUUUUCAUUA
rnacentral:tRNA from 1 species